rnacentral:rRNA from 1 species
UACGUAGGGGGCAAGCGUUAUCCGGAUUUACUGGGUGUAAAGGGAGCGUAGACGGUGAUGCAAGUCAGAAGUGAAAGCCCGGGGCUCAACUCCGGGACUGCUUUUGAAACUGUGUGACUGGAGUGCAGGAGAGGUAAGCGGAAUUCCUGGUGUAGCGGUAAAAUGCGUAAAUAUAUGUAAGAACACCGGUGGCGAAGGCGGCUUGCUGGGCCUGUACUGACAUUGAGGCACGAAAGCGUGGGGAGCAAACAGG